AGUGAACGCUGGCGGCAGGCCUAACACAUGCAAGUCGAGCGGAUGAAGGGAGCUUGCUCCUGGAUUCAGCUGCGGACUGGUGAGUAAUGCCGAGGAAUCUGCCUGGUUGUGGUGGAUAACGUGCGGAAACGGGCGCUAAUACCGCAUACGUCCUGAGGGAGUAAGGGGGGGAUCUUCGGACCUUCCGCUAUCAGGUGAGCCUAGGUCGGAUUAGCUAGUUGGUGGGGUAAAGGCCUACCAAGGCGACGAUCCGUAACUGGUCUGAGAGGAUGAUCAGCCACACUGGAACUGAGACACGGUCCAGACUCCUACGGGAGGCAGCAGUGGGGAAUAUUGGACAAUGGGCGCAAGCCUGAUCCAGCCAUGCCGCGUGUGUGAAGAAGGUCUUCGGAUUGUAAAGCACUUUAAGUUGGGAGGAAGAGCAGUAAGUUAAUACCUUGCUGUUUUGACGUUACCAACAGAAUAAGCACCGGCUAACUUCGUG
rnacentral:rRNA from 1 species